UGGCUCAUUAAAUCAGUUAUCGUUUAUUUGAUAGUACCUUACUACUUGGAUAACCGUGGUAAUUCUAGAGCUAAUACAUGCUAAAAACCUCGACUUCGGAAGGGGUGUAUUUAUUAGAUAAAAAACCAAUGCCCUUCGGGGCUCCUUGGUGAUUCAUAAUAACUUAACGAAUCGCAUGGCCUUGUGCCGGCGAUGGUUCAUUCAAAUUUCUGCCCUAUCAACUUUCGAUGGUAGGAUAGUGGCCUACCAUGGUUUCAACGGGUAACGGGGAAUUAGGGUUCUAUUCCGGAGAGGGAGCCUGAGAAACGGCUACCACAUCCAAGGAAGGCAGCAGGCGCGCAAAUUACCCAAUCCCGACACGGGGAGGUAGUGACAAUAAAUACUGAUACAGGGCUCUUUUGGGUCUUGUAAUUGGAAUGAGUACAAUUUAAAUCCCUUAACGAGGAACAAUUGGAGGGCAAGUCUGGUGCCAGCAGCCGCGGUAAUUCCAGCUCCAAUAGCGUAUAUUAAAGUUGUUGCAGUUAAAAAGCUCGUAGUUGAACCUUGGGCCUGGCUGGCCGGUCCGCCUCACCGCGUGCACUGGUCCGGCCGGGUCUUUCCUUCUGGGGAGCCGCAUGCCCUUCACUGGGUGUGUCGGGGAACCAGGACUUUUACUUUGAAAAAAUUAGAGUGUUCAAAGCAGGCCUAUGCUCGAAUACAUUAGCAUGGAAUAAUAGAAUAGGACGUGUGGUUCUAUUUUGUUGGUUUCUAGGACCGCCGUAAUGAUUAAUAGGGAUAGUCGGGGGCAUCAGUAUUCAAUUGUCAGAGGUGAAAUUCUUGGAUUUAUUGAAGACUAACUACUGCGAAAGCAUUUGCCAAGGAUGUUUUCAUUAAUCAGUGAACGAAAGUUAGGGGAUCGAAGACGAUCAGAUACCGUCGUAGUCUUAACCAUAAACUAUGCCGACUAGGGAUCGGGCGAUGU
rnacentral:rRNA from 1 species